rnacentral:rRNA from 1 species
UCCGUAGGUGAACCUGCGGAAGGAUCAUUAAAGAUUCUAAGGCUUCGGUCUUAAUUUCGGCUGUGCGCUCAGGCUGCACGCCGAUAACCUCUCACACCUGUGCACCUUUUCGGUUGCGGUUUCGGCCGCUUCCGCUUUUACAUGCAACCACGAAAAGUCUAGAAUGUGAAGAAAACUAUAAAGUAACAACUUUCAACAACGGAUCUCUUGGCUCUCGCAUCGAUGAAGAACGCAGCGAAGUGCGAUAAGUAAUGUGAAUUGCAGAAUUCAGUGAAUCAUCGAAUCUUUGAACGCACCUUGCGCUCCUUGGUAUUCCAUGGAGCAUGCCUGUUUGAGUGUCACGUAAACCCUCACCCCUGCGAUGUAACAGUCGCCUGCGGUGGACUUGGACCGUGCCGGUAAUCGGCUCGUCUUGAAAUGCAUUAGCUGGCGCUUUUAGAGUGCUGGGCGAACGGUGUGAUAAUUAUCUGCGCCGACUGCCCUGGGCCUCUUCAGCGGCGCUGCUUACAGCCGUCCCUUGUGGACAACUAUUUUAAAGCUUUGGCCUCAAAUCAGGUAGGACUACCCGCUGAACUUAAGCAUAUCAAUAAGCGGAGGA